GCGGGCGUGGCGGAAUGGCAGACGCUAUGGCCUUAGGAGCCAUUUCCCGAAAGGGAGUAGAGGUUCGAGUCCUCUCGCCCGCACCA
rnacentral:tRNA from 1 species